GGGGUAAGGGAGUAAGGCCCGAAUGGAAAGUUUUCGACGCUUUAGUACAGUACUUCGCCACAUUUCGUACACACGGCACACGGCACACGAUUAUGGUUGGGAAGAAAUGGAUCGUGUAGAGACUGAGAGCGAGUGCGAUUCCAGCCAAAAAAAGAAGCAAUCACACACACACAGCUUCUACAAUCUUAUGCUGUUGUAUUGAGGCGAAGGAUCAGCAAAAAGAAAUGGAACACGCGAGCGCCCCGGAGGCCAAACAGCGGUUAUCUCUGAUAAGCAGCGACCGGGAGAGGACAGCGGCCAUACAUACUACAACAGGGGGCAACAUAUGUCCUUAUUCAUUUCGAAGGUCAACUACUGCUGCCUUCAGAGGUUUUAGCAGCGGGUUUGUGUGGUCCCUUCACACGCCACGAGGUUUGAGGACUAGCUUGGUGAGAGGGGAGCCCGGGGCAAUUAGGGCACCCAACCCACCUCUCCAUACCGGCAAUGUUACACAGACACAGAUGUUACACAGAUGUAAUUUCCAAUGCAAUCAAAUGUUUAGAACGGUUCUCAGUGCCUGAGUUUAUUAAGACGACCUUUCAAGAAUGAAUGAGACAUUUAGUGGCACUUUAUCGUUUCACAAUAUAAUAAUUGCAAAGUUUUUCGUGUUUUUUUUUGUCCGAUAAUUUUUAGACACUUCCCGAAAUGUUUGGAUUCGUUUCACGAUUUAUUGAGCGUUCACAAAAAGUUUUUGAACCGGAAAUGCUUGGAUAAUGCCUAUGAAUCAUAGGCAUGCAAGGAUCCUUUCUUCUAGAAGAUGAGGUUUGCAUUUAUCAACAAUCAAGUGACGAAACUGUUCAUAAGGACAAAAGUCACUAUAAAUAAAAAAUCUUUUUGACAGACAUUAUCUAAGAAUUUCAAGUUUAAGGCAUUAAUAAUUCCAGGGG